rnacentral:pre_miRNA from 1 species
AGCUAUCUGAAUCAAUGCAGAGAUUUCGUCAGACAUCAACCCGUUAGGGCUGACCAGACUUUCAAGAUAUGUGAAGUU